UACAGAGGGUGCGAGCGUUAAUCGGAAUUACUGGGCGUAAAGAGCUCGUAGGUGGUUUGUCGCGUUGUUCGUGAAAACCGGAGGCUCAACCUCUGGCGUGCGGGCGAUACGGGCAGACUUGAGUACUGCAGGGGAGACUGGAAUUCCUGGUGUGGCGGUGGAAAUGCGCAGAUAUCAGGAGGAACACCAAUGGCGAAGGCAGUUUGCUGGGAUGUAUCUGACGCUAAGGCACGAAAGCGUGGGGGAGCGAACAGG
rnacentral:rRNA from 1 species